AGGAUCAACGCUGGCGGCGUGCCUAAUGCAUGCAAGUCGAGCGCGGGCCCUUUCGGGGGUGCUGCGCGGCGGACGGGUGCGUAACACGUGGGCAACCUGCCCUGGGGUGGGGGAUAGCCGUGGGAAACCGCGGGUAAUUCCGCAUACGUUCGGGUCUCGACGGGAGACCUGAAGAAAGGGCGCAAGCCCGCCCUUGGAGGGGCCUGCGGCCGAUUAGCUAGACGGUGGGGUGACGGCCUACCGUGGCGAUGAUCGGUAGCUGGUCUGAGAGGACGGCCAGCCACACGGGGACUGCGACACGGCCCCGACUCCUACGGGAGGCAGCAGCAAGGAAUCUUCCGCAAUGGGGGCAACCCUGACGGAGCAACGCCGCGUGGGGGAUGACGCUCUUCGGAGUGUAAACCCCUUUUCUGCGGGAAGAAGGUGGGGCAACCCACUUGACGGUACCGGAGGAAGAAGGACCGGCUAACUACGUGCCAGCAGCCGC
rnacentral:rRNA from 1 species